rnacentral:rRNA from 1 species
UAGCCUACGGGGGGCAGCAGUGGGGGAUAUUGCACAAUGGGGGAAACCCUGAUGCAGCGACGCCGCGUGAGUGAAGAAGUAUUUCGGUAUGUAAAGCUCUAUCAGCAGGGAAGAAGAUGACAGUACCUGAGUAAGAAGCCCCGGCUAACUACGUGCCAGCAGCCGCGGUAAUACGUAGGGGGCGAGCGUUAUCCGGAUUCACUGGGUGUAAAGGGAGCGUAGACGGCCAAGCAAGCCAGGGGUGAAAGCCCGGGGCCCAACCCCGGGACUGCCCUUGGAACUGCUUGGCUGGAGUGCGGGAGGGG